UACGUAGGGGGGCAAGCGUUGUCCGGAUUUAUUGGGCGUAAAGAGCGUGUAGGCGGUCAGGUAGGUCCGUUGUGAAAACUCGAGGCUCAACCUCGAGACGCCGAUGGAAACCAUCUGACUAGAGUCCGGAAGAGGAGAGUGGAAUUCCUGGUGUAGCGGUGAAAUGCGUAGAUAUCUGGAGGAACACCGGUGGCGAAGGCGGCAUCCUGGACAACACUGACGCUGAGUGAGCGAAGCCAGGGGAGCAAACGGG
rnacentral:rRNA from 1 species